ACUCCACAUACGCAUCCUUUGCUGAGGAUACGGUUAACGGAGCGAAAGCGACGUUCAACCGCAAAAGAAGCAGAGGGGGCUUAGUGGUGGGGUGACUGCGUACCUUUUGUAUAAUGGGUCAGCGACUUAUAUUCUGUAGCAAGGUUAACCGAAUAGGGGAGCCGGAGGGAAACCGAGUCUUAACCGGGCGUUAAGUUGCAGGGUAUAGACCCGAAACCCGGUGAUCUAGCCAUGGGCAGGUUGAAGGUUGGGUAACACUAACUGGAGGACCGAACCGACUAAUGUUGAAAAAUUAGCGGAUGACCUGUGGCUGGGGGUGAAAGGCCAAUCAAACCGGGAGAUAGCUGGUUCUCCCCGAAAGCUAUUUAGGUAGCGCCUCGUGAAUUCAUCUCCGGGGGUAGAGCACUGUUUCGGCUAGGGGGCCAUCCCGGCUUACCAACCCGAUGCAAACUGCGAAUACCGGAGAAUGUUAUCACGGGAGACACACGGCGGGUGCUAACGUCCGUCGUGAAGAGGGAAACAACCCAGACCGCCAGCUAAGGUCCCAAAGUCAUGGUUAAGUGGGAAACGAUGUGGGAAGGCCCAGACAGCCAGGAUGUUGGCUUAGAAGCAGCCAUCAUUUAAAGAAAGCGUAAUAGCUCACUGGUCGAGUCGGCCUGCGCGGAAGAUGUAACGGGGCUAAACCAUGCACCGAAGCUGCGGCAGCGAACGUAUCACUUAAAGCGAUUCAGCGGGUUACGAUUGACGGAGCGAAGCGACGUCAAAGCGUAUACAAAGUCGAGUCGGUUUAAGGAUACGUUCGUUGGGUAGGGGAGCGUUCUGUAAGCCUGUGAAGGUGGCCUGU
rnacentral:rRNA from 1 species